rnacentral:rRNA from 1 species
UACGUAGGGGGCAAGCGUUGUCCGGAUUUAUUGGGCGUAAAGAGCGUGUAGGCGGCUGGGGUAGGUCCGUUGUGAAAACUCGAGGCUCAACCUCGAGACGCCGAUGGAAACCAUCCAGCUAGAGUCCGGAAGAGGAGAGUGGAAUUCCGUGGUGUAGCGGUGAAAUGCGCAGAUAUCAGGAAGAACACCCGUGGCUAAGGCGGCUCUCUAGUACGUGACUGACGCUGAGACGCGAAAGCGUGGGGAGCGAACAGG